GCGUCGGUAGUGGAAUGGUUAGCCUGCGCUCCCGGAAAGAGUGAGAUCUGGGUUCGAAUCCCGGCUGACGCA